GUUACUAUUCACAAGCCAUUUGGGUCGGCUCACAAGCCAAAUGUUAGGUCAGCUCAGUUAGUGGGGAGUCGUUGGAACUUGGAAAUGAAUCAGAGUCUGUCUGUUACCUUGUUUUUAUCUUCUUUCUAGACUAAAAUCUGAAAAUGUCUUUCUUCAAAGUUCGGUUUUCAUUUUCAUCCUCAUCUUCACUCGACAGAAGGAAACCCUAGCCCCAUUUCGUCUGUUCUUUUAGCAACAACCAUACUGCCGUGGCCUUCAACGAUAUGUUCCGACAAACCAUUCACCAUUCGCCUGAAUCUGUGAAGAAGUAAGUUUUCUGCUGGUCUUUGUUAUUUUCUUCAGCUUUAUUUAAGGUAUGUUGUUGUCGUUUCUGUCUAUACAUGAAAAUUUAGCUGGGUUCCUCUUCGUUUACCUUCAUCUAGCUUAGAAGUUUAAAAUUUUGUUCGAUCUUCGCUUUUAAUGCUUUCACGAGGAUUAGAGGAGGUUGCUGUCGGUAUAUCGGAUAUUUUUUGGCUGAUUUGGGAGAUAGGGAAGGGCUUGAAUCAAGGAGAGAUGAGAGACAUGAAAGAUCUUCAGGCAAUUUAGAAAAAGCCACCGGAGAAAGGUUUUAACAGUUGAUGAGUCAUCAUUUGCAAAUUGCAAGUAGCUUCUAUCGAAGCUGUUCAUAUAUCUGAUGUUUCAUGAGCAGAAAGAUCAAGUGGCUGUGGAGUUGAUACUUUCAAGUAGCAUUUCCAGGUGUAGAACACCCUAGAUUAUAUGGGAAAAUGGCUAGGAAUUGCAUGUGCAGAACUUGCAAAUACAUAUUAUAGAGAUGAAGUGCGAAGAGUUGAAGCGUAUCUUGAAAGAAAAAACAUUGGCUCAAUAGAGUUACAUAUUCGUUACUGUUUCAAAGUAAGGGCUAUCUUCCAUCGGGAUGUAGUUCUUCAUAUUGCUUGCCUUCAGUGCAGUUUGUCAACUUGAGGAUUUUAGAGCAGAUUUUAGCAAUGCCAAACAUUAUCAUCAUCAGAUGUGGAAAUGCUUACGUUAUGAUGCCAAAUCAAAUCAAGGUCCUUCCAGUAAGUGUUUUCCCUCGUUGUUUGUUAAUUAAUUGAUAUAUGGAAGUAAAUACUUUUAUGAACAUGUUCAAUGAGGAAAUGAUAGAAACUCUAUUUGGCUAAGCUUCUGCUAAGAAAAACAAGAACGUAUUCAACCAAUAUAUCCAAAUAAUUUAUUCAAAGAAAUCUUAGAAUUUAUCAAUUCUUCUCAAAGCAUUAAACGUGACUACAGAAGAAGAUUGUGACACACUUCAAGAAGGUAACAUUUUUGUUUUUUAUUAAAACUUUUUGAGAGACAAUUUAUUUGAAGAGAAUAACUUGAUUAUCUGUAAAAAUACUUGAAAACAAGUUUUGAGGACCAAAUCAGAUAAAGGAGAGAUUUUAUUUAAUUCAUAGAUGGAUCAUAUGAUCUAAUUUAUGCAUAACUCAGCCACAACAUGUGGCAUUGAAAGGGAGGGAAGACUAAUAUGGUAUUGGCAGAUAAAAUUUAUUUGAAAGUCAAUAAAUGUCAUAAGGGAUUUUUGACAAAAGAAAACACGUGUUUUCGUAUUUUAUCAUUCUUUAUGAUAGGUUUGAUCUGAGUUAAAGGUGCUAGCACUCUAAUUUACCUGUAUGAAUGUUAGUUGAUGUAUAUGUUAAUCAACAAUAAUCUUCCUUGACAUCCAUUAGUUAUAUGUUAUAAUUUUACACGCUACUAUAUCUAAGCAGUUAAGUGAUGUAAAUGAGCAACAAUCCUAUCACACUUAGUGAGAUAAAAAAAUCUAACAUGGUUGAGAAUCCUUCUCUGCGUGAGAAUCCAAAUGAUUCAUCUCCUGUAAUCACUAUUCAUGAAAAGAAAUGGACUGAUGGAUGUAUUCCACUGGAUACACUCUCUUCAGGCCCACAUUGCUUGGGAAGGUGUAUUUUGUUUUGAACUUAAUUAACUCUAUAACAAGAAGUUGUUGUGUUCACUGCUUACUUCAAUUGCUGUAUUUAACUCCC